CCUACGGGAGGCAGCAGUGGGGAAUAUUGCGCAAUGGGCGAAAGCCUGACGCAGCGACGCCGCGUGAGGGAUGAAGGUCUUCGGAUCGUAAACCUCUGUCAGCAGGGAAGAACGGUCACUGUGCUAAUCAGCAGUGAAUUGACGGUACCUGCAAAGGAAGCACCGGCUAACUCCGUGCCAGCAGCCGCGGUAAUACGGAGGGUGCGAGCGUUAAUCGGAAUUACUGGGCGUAAAGCGCUCGUAGGCGGUAUGUCAAGUCAAGGGUGAAAUCCCCGCGCUCAACGUGGGAACUGCCUUUGAAACUGGCAAACUGGAGUGUGUGAGAGGAUAGUGGAAGUCCAGGUGUAGGAGUGAAAUGCGUAGAUAUCUGGAGGAACAUCAGUGGCGAAGGCGACUAUCUGGCACAUAACUGACGCUGAGGAGCGAAAGCGUGGGUAGCAAACAGGAUUAGAUACCCGGGUAGUC
rnacentral:rRNA from 1 species